UACGUAGGGUGCGAGCGUUAAUCGGAAUUACUGGGCGUAAAGCGUGCGCAGGCGGUUCGUUAUGUCCGAUGUGAAAGCCCCGAGCUCAACUUGGGAAUGGCAUUGGAAACUGGCGGGCUGGAGUGUGGCAGAGGGGGGUGGAAUUCCACGUGUAGCAGUGAAAUGCGUAGAUAUCGUAAGGAAGACCAGUGGCGAAGGCGGGUCUCUGGGCCGAUACUGACGCUGAGGAGCGAAAGCGUGGGGAGCGAACAGG
rnacentral:rRNA from 1 species